GGCUAAAACUCAAAGGAAUUGACGGGGGCCGCACAAGCGGCGGAGCAUGUGGAUUAUUCGAUGCAACGCGAAGAACCUUACCUGGGUUUGACAUGCACAGGACGCCGGCAGAGAUGUCGGUUCCCUUGUGGCCUGUGUGCAGGUGGUGCAUGGCUGUCGUCAGCUCGUGUCGUGAGAUGUUGGGUUAAGUCCCGCAACGAGCGCAACCCUUAUCUUAUGUUGCCAGCGCGUAAUGGCGGGGACUCGUGAGAGACUGCCGGGGUCAACUCGGAGGAAGGUGGGGAUGACGUCAAGUCAUCAUGCCCCUUAUGUCCAGGGCUUCACACAUGCUACAAUGGCCGGUACAAAGGGCUGCGAUGCCGCAAGGUUAAGCGAAUCCUUUUAAAGCCGGUCUCAGUUCGGAUCGGGGUCUGCAACUCGACCCCGUGAAGUCGGAGUCGCUAGUAAUCGCAGAUCAGCAACGCUGCGGUGAAUACGUUCCCGGGCCUUGUACACACCGCCCGUCACGUCAUGAAAGUCGGUAACACCCGAAGCCAGUGGCCUAACCUUUUGGAGGGAGCUGUCGAAGGUGGGAUCGGCGAUUGGGACGAAGUCGUAACAAGGUAACCGUA
rnacentral:rRNA from 1 species